GCACGAUUGAAUUUACUAGAUAAAUAUAAAGCUUCUAGAUCUACAGUCGAAAUACCUAAAGAUUUAUACUUAUGCGAAAUGAAAAUAGAAAAAGUAAAAUCGUAAUGUAAAAUGUACAAUUCUUUACAUAUUGAAUUCAGUGAAAACUUGUGUAAAUAGAUAAAUUAUCUAAUGGAGGAUGCAAUUAUAAGUAUCUUGUUAGUCUAGCAAUGCAUGCAAUUUGGUAUGCAUGUAGUAAAUAUGAUUAUAGCCAAAUUACCUUAUAUGAUUUUUGUUACACCUAUAAAUUACCACUUCAUAUUAGGCCCCAAAGUCGAGGUUCUGAUGAGGCCAGUCGAGGCGCCACCGAGGCCCUAAGGAGUUCAGCGGAGGCGCUCGCCAAAGUGCCUAUUAUUAUAUUCAUAUGAUCACCUCCUUAUUGAGCUUGGACUUCGACCCGCCAACCCGUUUGGCCCAUUUUACUUCUAUUUCUCUAUAUAUAUGGAUUCACUUACACAACUAAGAUAUGUUCUACACUUUCUAAUCAAACCAUUACUCCAUAUUAUUGCACUCUAUAUAUCCAUCUCCGUCCGGCCGUUGACUUGAUCGUCGGAGUGCAAAAGAUCGCAGGACCCUUUUUUCGUCUGACCGCCUUUGCCUUUUGACGGUGUGCUACUUGUGCAGGUUUUGAGGGGACGAGGCUAGGGAACCUGUUGGAGCCAUUUGUGGAGGUAAACAGAUUGACACUGUCUGUGUAAAAUGGUAUGUUAACCAUGUUAUAUUACAUCCCAAAAGCUAUCGAAAAGGGAGAAUUUUUCCGAUCAGCUCUCUACCAAAAACGAGCAAAGAUAGCAACCAAGAAUGAAGAAGAAAAGGCAGUAACUAGAAGAGGGUUGAAGAAACUCGAUGGUUAUUUCCGGCACAAAACACAGCUAAUGAAAGGGAGGAAAUAGUUUGGCAAACUGAAAUUAAUUUUUGGUGGAGUUUCUCGUGCCCAAAUUGAAGAAAAAAGUCAUGAGAAUGGUGAUUAGGAAAGAAAUGGCCAUCCACACCUAGAAGGUUCUGCCUUCACGUUUGAAACAAGAAAAAUACUCCUCUUGCUGGAAUUAUCUACUUUUGCUUCCCCGUACAAAGGAAAUUUUAAAGGAUUUAUUCUUAAAUCAAUUACUUUAACUCCCUUCUCAUAUGAACUCAAAAAAAAAAUGGAGUCUCUGUUCACAAGAUCCACGUCCAGAAGGAAAGAAAGUCUAAGUCCAAAACAAAAGCAAAAGAAGGAGGCACGGCAAACACGGAUUUCUUCUCCUUUUGAAGUUGGAAAAAGAUUUUAAUGGGCGACCAUGGUUAUGUAAACCUCCGACAACAAGUAGCACCACACAAUACAAAGAAAUACCGGCAUCACAGUGAACUUCACGGCAGAGUUCUUGCUUUCUUACAUCAUUUUAGCAUUUAAUAUGAUGAAGACCAGGUGUCGACAGCGGCGUGUUCAGAGAAAAGAGUUGUACACAGUCGGCUAUCCAGCUACUACAGUGCCUCACUUUGCUGACUUUUCUCUUAUAAUGAUUCGAAGGUAUUUUAUUAAGCUCCACACACGGUAUGCAUUAUUGGUCCUAUGUAUUCAUUUUCCUUGGGCCUUAUUAUUUUACAUGAAAAUUUUGGGCUCAUUUGAUACUUUAAUUUUCUAGUGCCAUCUUCCCUCAGACCAUUG
rnacentral:lncRNA from 1 species